rnacentral:rRNA from 1 species
AACGAACGCUGGCGGCAGGCUUAACACAUGCAAGUCGAACGCCCCGCAAGGGGAGUGGCAGACGGGUGAGUAACGCGUGGGAAUCUACCCAGUUCUACGGAACAACACAGGGAAACUUGUGCUAAUACCGUAUACGCCCUACGGGGAAAGAUUUAUCGGAAUUGGAUGAGCCCGCGUUGGAUUAGCUAGUUGGUGGGGUAAUGGCCUACCAAGGCGACGAUCCAUAGCUGGUCUGAGAGGAUGAUCAGCCACACUGGGACUGAGACACGGCCCAGACUCCUACGGGAGGCAGCAGUGGGGAAUAUUGGACAAUGGGCGAAAGCCUGAUCCAGCCAUGCCGCGUGAGUGAUGAAGGCCUUAGGGUUGUAAAGCUCUUUCAGUGGGGACGAUAAUGACGGUACCCACAGAAGAAGCCCCGGCUAACUUCGUGCCAGCAGCCGCCGUAAGAC